rnacentral:rRNA from 1 species
UACGAAGGGGGCUAGCGUUGUCCGGAUUUACUGGGCGUAAAGAGCGCGCAGGCGGUCGUUCAAGUCGCGUGUGAAAGCCCCCGGCUCAACUGGGGAGGGUCACGCGAUACUGAUCGACUCGAAGGCAGGAGAGGGUAGUGGAAUUCCCGGUGUAGUGGUGAAAUGCGUAGAUAUCGGGAGGAACACCAGUGGCGAAGGCGACUACCUGGCCUGUUCUUGACGCUGAGGCGCGAAAGCUAGGGGAGCAAACGGG